UUUUUCGGCAGCGGGCAGAGUCUGCUGGUAUUGAGGAGGGGGAUCUUUCUGUGGGCAGCAGGCAGCUGGACCAUGGAGGUAACAGCUCUGACACCUGAGGACUCUGUCAUAGAGUUCUCCCCAAGAGAGAAACCUGGAGGAAGAUCCAUCAGUCCUUGGAUUCCUGAAAGUCAUGCUGCUCGGUUCAGAACUGUUCAGGGAUGCAGCCAUAACUUUCUCCCAGGAAGAGUGGGAGUGCCUGGAGCCUGUUCAGAGGGAUUUGUACAGAGAUGUGAUGUUGGAGAACUCCAGCCACCUGGUCUUGCCAUGUCCAAACCUGAUGUGAUAUCCAUCCUAGAGCAAGGUAAUGAGCCCUGGGUACAGGAAAGGGCCACAGCAGUAGUGCUGGGUUCAGCAUUGGAGUCUGGAUGUGGUACCAAGAUAACGCCCUCCAAGCAACGCACUCAUGAGGAGGACUCCCCACAGUGGGCGACAACAGAAAGCCUUCCAAGCUGCAGUCUUGAGAGCGCAAGUCUCUGAAAUGACUGGGAAGGCAAAGGCCUAUUUGAUAGACAAGCAGGCAAUCCAGCCAGAAACGCCGGGCCAGUGUUAAUCUGUCACCAAGAAAUGCCCGCAUUAAACCAGCACAUGUCUCUUACUUUUUACCAGACAAAGUCCCGUAGGUAUAAAAAACACAGAAGAGACUUCUGUAAAGAGCAGUUCCUUAUUAACCAAGAACUUGGUUACGAAUGAGAAACCCUACAAGUGUAGGCAGUGUGGGAAGGCUUUUAAAUACGGCUUGUGACUAAUCCAGCAUGAGAACAUUCAUUCGGGCAAGAAGCCUUAUGAGUGUUAAGAGUGUGGGAAGGCCUUCAAUUCUGGUUCUAAUUUCAUAGAACACCAGAGAGUUGAUACAGGCGAGAAACCUUAUGCGUGUAAAGACUGUGCUAAAGCCUUCAGUCGAAGGUCUUAGCUCAUUGAGCAUCAGAGAAUCCAUACUGGGGAGAAACCCUAUCAAUGUAAGGAGUGUGGCAAGGCCUUCAAUCGUAUCUUACAUCUCAAAGUACAUCACAGAAUCCAUAGUGGGGAAAGCCCUAUGUGUGUAAAGAGUGUGGGAAGACCUUUAGUCACAGGUCUCAGUUGACUCAACAUCACACUGUUCAUACUGGCAAGAAACUCUUUGAGUGCAAAGAGUGCGGGAAGGCUUUUAAUCAAGGGUCCAUUCUAAUCUAACACCAGAGAAUUCAUACGGGAGAGAAACUACAAGUGUAAGGCAUGUGGCAAGGUGUUUAGAGUGAACUCACAGCUUAAGCAACAUCACAGAAUUCACACUGGAGAGAAGUCGUACCAGUGUAAGGUUUGCAAAAGGGCCUUCAAGCGGGUCUCACAUCUCACAGUACAUUAUAGAAUUCAUAUGGCUGAGAAGCCGUUCGAAUGUGAGGAAUGGGAAAACGCCUUUAGUCACUGCUCACAACUGACUCAACGUCCGAUGAUCCAUUCCGAGGAAAAGCCCUACAAGCAUAAGGGAUGCCGGGAGAGCAUAAAUCAUGAUCCAACAUCCGAGCCCCGAGGCUGCGUGAUAGAGGAACACAUGUGAACAUAGUAAAUGUAGAAAAGCCAGCCCUUGGCACUUACCCACUACUAAUCAUCGGGGAAUUGGUUGGCAAGCAACCACGUGAGUGGAAGUAAUGCAAAGAGCCCAUUAGCUUAGGGUAAUCACAGGUUGUGCAUCUUCAAGGAAGGGUAGAUAAGCACGCUGCACAUGAGACACCACUAUCCCAUUUAUUCUAAAUGAAAAAAUGUGUAUGUUGUCUCCCAACACAAUCCUAGUCGUGGGAUUUUUGCGUUGUUUAAGGUUUGUUGUUUGUUUGUUUUGAGGCAAGGUCUGUCUCUGCAGCCCUAGCUGGCCUGGAGUUUGCUAUGUAAACCAGGCUGACCUGAAACUCAGAGAGAUCUGCCUGCCUCUCCCUUCAGGGUAUAUUAGAUGUGUGUGCCACAACACCCAGUUUUAGCAACAAGGAAAAGAAAGCCAAAUCAUUCUUCAUUUAGUAUUUUUUCAAACUCCAUGAACUGCAAGAAAAAGAAUGGCUUGAUACUUUUACAUGCUAAGAAAGGUAAGAUGAAGCUAUAACUAGGGUGUGGUGGCCCACACCUUGAAUCCUUGGCACUUGGAAGGCAGAAGCAGAAGGUUCUCUGAGUUCUAGCCCAGCUGGCUACACAGUGAGACCCUGUCUCCAAACAAUAACAACAACUCCAUCCCCAAAAGCACAGAGGAAUUUAAAGAUUUUUUUUGUUUAGAAAUCUCUCUCUCUCUGUGUGUGUGUGUGUGUGUGUGUGUGUGUGUGUGUGUGUGGAGAGAGAGAAAGAGAGAGAGAGAGAGAGAGAGAGAGAGAGAGAGAGAGAGAGAGAUCAGAGGGCAGACUUGUGGAGUCACGUCUUUCUGUCUUCCUUUAUGAGGGUUGCAGACAUUGAACUUUGAUCAUCAGGCUUAUCCACUGAGCUACCUCACUGGCCUUUUUAAUAAUUAAAAAAAAAUUUAACUCCCAGAGGAAUGAAUGGUUUGCAAGUUUUAAAUACAUGCUUGUAUAUGAAAAUUCAAAUGAGUAUCCAAACACACUAAAUGAAGGGGUCAGAAUUACAAAACAGCUAUGCAUGGUGGUGAGUGCUUGGAAUCUUAGCUCUUAAGUUGAGGCAGGAGGAUUGCCACAAGUCAAGGCCAGCUUGGGCUACAUGGUGAUGCACUAAAACACAAAGUACCAAACAUCCAGGCAAUAGAUCUAAAACAAAAAAAGGUAGUAGUCUCGUGUUUUGUUUUGUUUAAUAGUCCAAGGAAUUUUUCUAAAUUCGGUUAUUUAUAAGAUUGGGGCCUGGACAAGAUAUGACUGUGUAGUCCUGGCUAGUCUCCAGUUUGGGGCAGUCCUCACUAGAUCUGGGAUUUUAGGCAUGAGACCCAAAGUCUGACUCUAUUUCUAAUCUGAAAUGUUCAUAAUCUCUGUAGACACUAUAUUUUCAUGGCUUCCAAACUAGAAGGCAUAAAAAUCUAGAGUAAAAGGUCUUCCUGUCCUA